rnacentral:rRNA from 1 species
GUAGGUGGCAAGCGUUGUCCGGAAUUAUUGGGCGUAAAGCGCGCGCAGGCGGUUCUUUAAGUCUGAUGUGAAAGCCCUCGGCUCAACCGUGGAGGGUCAUUGGAAACUGGAGAACUUGAGUACAGAAGAGGAAAGCGGAAUUCCACGUGUAGCGGUGAAAUGCGUAGAGAUGUGGAGGAACACCAGUGGCGAAGGCGGCUUUCUGGUCUGUAACUGACGCUGAGGCGCGAAAGCGUGGGGAGCAAACAGGAUUAGAUACCCUGGUAGUCCACGCCGUAAACGAUGAGUGCUAAGUGUUAGGGGGGUUUUCCGCCCCCCUUAGUGCUGCAGCUAACGCAUUAAGCACUCCGCCCUGGGUAGGUACGGCCGCAAGGCUG